rnacentral:rRNA from 1 species
UUUUAUGGAGAGUUUGAUCCUGGCUCAGGACGAACGCUGGCGGCGUGCCUAAUACAUGCAAGUCGAGCGAACAGAGAAGGAGCUUGCUCCUUCGA